rnacentral:rRNA from 1 species
UCCAGACUCCUACGGGAGGCAGCAGUGAGGAAUAUUGGUCAAUGGACGAGAGUCUGAACCAGCCAAGUAGCGUGAAGGAUGACUGCCCUAUGGGUUGUAAACUUCUUUUAUAUGGGAAUAAAAUGUUCCACGUGUGGGAUUUUGUAUGUACCAUAUGAAUAAGGAUCGGCUAACUCCGUGCCAGCAGCCGCGGUAAUACGGAGGAUGCGAGCGUUAUCCGGAUUUAUUGGGUUUAAAGGGUGCGUAGGCGGGCUGUUAAGUCGGGGGUCAAAUGUCGGGGCUCAACCCCGGCCUGCCGUUGAAACUGGCGGCCUCGAGUGGGCGAGAAGUAUGCGGAAUGCGUGGUGUAGCGGUGAAAUGCAUAGAUAUCACGCAGAACUCCGAUUGCGAAGGCAGCAUACCGGCGCCCGACUGACGCUGAGGCACGAAAGCGUGGGUAUCGAACAGGAUUAGAUACCCGUGUA